rnacentral:rRNA from 1 species
AACGAACGCUGGCGGCAUGCCUAACACAUGCAAGUCGAACGAGACCUUCGGGUCUUGUGGCGCACGGGUGCGUAACGCGUGGGAACCUGCCCUUAGGUUCGGAAUCACUCCCCGAAAGGGGUGCUAAUACCGGAUAAUGUCUUCGGACCAAAGAUUUAUCGCCUUGGGAUGGGCCCGCGUUGGAUUAGCUAGUUGGUAGGGUAAAAGCCUACCAAGGCGACGAUCCAUAGCUGGUCUGAGAGGAUGAUCAGCCACACUGGGACUGAGACACGGCCCAGACUCCUACGGGAGGCAGCAGUGGGGAAUAUUGCACAAUGGGCGAAAGCCUGAUCCAGCAAUGCCGCGUGAGUGAUGAAGGCCUUAGGGUUGUAAAGCUCUUUUACCCGGGAUGAUAAUGACAGUACCGGGAGAAUAAGCGCCGGCUAACUACGUG